UGUUUUAGUCACGAAUUUCGAGAUUUGUGUGGGUGAUUUUUCAUCAGACGGAGGUUAUCGCAGAUCAAUUCCUCACUCAGAAGUGUUCUUGGCAGAAGGGUUCAACCAGUAUGGAAACCAUCCUCGCAACGACAUCGCACUAGUCAAACUAGCGGAGCCUGUCUCGCAUGAUAGGAUCAUUAAAAUAUGCAGGAGUGAAGUGGAUCAUGGAACACAUGUGCGCAUGAGUGGACUAGGAGUCACUUCUACCAAAUUCAGGACUCAAUCUUCUCCAUUUUCCUCUCCCU